GUAGGGGGAUAUGGGAGGAGCGACAUUUAAAGAUCCAGGUGGUGGUUGAGAUUCCGCUAAAAGACACAACAAUAGCGUACCUUCACUGUUGCACUACGUUGCUCGGGUUUCGUAGCCCCUGAGUAAAAUAAAAUAUUAAAAUGCUGGUUUAAUGGAAAGGAUCCAAUAUCUCUUGCAGUAACCACAGUUUCGAUCUCUCCAGAAACCGGGAGAAAACUCUCUGGAAGCGGCAGACACAGCCAAGUUUUACAGAACGAACUCCCCUUUCGUAAUUCAAGACGUUUUGACACGCGUCCACUCAAUCUAAGAUUACAUUGAUUAAGGCGGAUUUAUUAAAUAGAUCUUUGGAAAAAUGUUUAAGAAAAGCAAGAGCAAAGUGUUAGUGGAUUAUGCGUCGGAGGAUGAAAUGUCCUGGCAUCACCAACACACUUACAAGGAUAAGGACCAAGAGGAGCAGGAGGAGGAGGAGGAAGAAGCAUUGAGCACUGUAUCCAAGGAGGUGAAAGUUAAGAAGGUCAAGUCCAAGAAGGAGAGGAGGGAUAAGAAGAUGUUUUCUUCUCCAGACGAUGAGCAUUUUCUACUGACAGGAGUCACACUUGCUAACCGUAGAGGGUGAGAUGUAUUAUAUUCCACCACAGUAAAGCACAGGCAUGUGGAUGUACAGCAUGUGUCCUCAGAAACAUUCAUUACACAGUCCCAAAUGUAGAUAAUAUUUCCUUAACAAGCUACAAGGUGCAAUAUGUCUGGCCCCAUAGACGGUUGUUUGGGUCUAUGGGGCGAGGUGAGCUCAGUGAGUCUUUCUUCAACUAGAUUAAUUUCCUGCCUCCUUUGACCUUUUCCGAGAAGCUCUACUGGCACUGCUUCUCUCCCAAAUCCACCUAAUCCUAGAGAAAGCCUACCCGCCAUCAAAAGACAGGUAGGCAGACAAGCAGAUAGACAAACAGAGAGAAAUGGGCAGUCAGAAUAAAGCGGGAGGCAGAUAGAGAAUCAGUCUGGCAGAGCACACCCAAGAAGGAAUGACAGGCCAACAGUAUUAGCUGGCCCCUAGGCAUUCAAGCCAUGCUUUAUAACAUUAAUCAAGGCAAUGUUGUCACUGUAGAUAUUAGACAGGGCUGUGUUCCCAGAAUCUACCCAGGGUAGUGGAAUGUACAGAGGGUAAAUCAUCAUUCAAUGACAGAUGUACAAUACCUACCGGGAUCCCUAUACAAUGGCUGUUUGCCUCCACCCAGC
ensembl:lncRNA